GUGAUUCCUUGUCACCAAAUCAUCUCUCAGAGAAAUUCUGUCUGCCGUGCGACACUAUCAAUCUAUCAUACAUACAGGUAUAUAUAUGCUUGCAUGCCAUCGAUCAGCCGCGGCAUCCAGUGAUCUUGCUGCAGCCGCGGGUGUAUGGGUUGGCCGCCGCACCCGGGCGUUUGGGGUCGGCGGCUUGGUUGAGGUUCCGGUCGCAAGUGCCGGGGACCUCGCAGUCGGCCUUGCUGUUGCCGGGCGUCGUCGGCGCCGCUUCCGCGGCCUCCUCGGCGGCGGCGGCCUCCUGCACGGCCAGUAGCAGGCCAAAUAACAGCACCACGGCCGCCACAGCCAGCCGCUUCUUCAUCACCUUCUUCUCCAUGGAUAGAUGCUUGUGUUUUCAGCUGAUCUGCACGGGAAC
rnacentral:misc_RNA from 1 species